GAUGAAGAACGCAGCGAAAUGCGAUAAGUAAUGUGAAUUGCAGAAUUCAGUGAAUCAUCGAAUCUUUGAACGCAUCUUGCGCUCCUUGGUAUUCCUUGGAGCAUGCCUGUUUGAGUAUCAUGAGCAAAUCUCAAAGUCAAUUCCUUUUGUUGAUUCAAUUGGUUCUGCUUUGGACUUGGAGGCCUUGCAGAUUUCACAGUCUGCUCCUCUUAAAUGCAUUAGCUGGAUCUCAGUAAUUAUGCUUGGUUCCACUCGGCGUGAUAAGUAUCACUCGCUGAGGACACUGUUAAAAAGGUGGCCAGGAAAAUACUGAUUGAACCGCUUCUAACGGUCUAUUAAGUUAGACAAUUACCCUUAAGUUUGAUCUCAAAUCAGGUAGGACUACCCGCUGAACUUAAGCAUAUCAAUAAGCGGAGGA
rnacentral:misc_RNA from 1 species